rnacentral:rRNA from 1 species
AAUGAACGUUGGCGGCAUGGAUUAGGCAUGCAAGUCGAGCGCGAAACGUAGCAAUACGUGGGGAGCGGCGAAAGGGAGAGGAAUAUGUGGGAACCUACCUUCGGGCCUGGAAUAGCGGCGGGAAACUGCCGGUAAUGCCAGAUAACGUCCCCGGACCAAAGGUGUGAUUCCGCCUGGAGAUGGGCCCACAUCCUAUCAGCUUGUUGGUGUGGUAACGGCGCACCAAGGCUAAGACGGGUAUGGGGUGUGAGAGCAUGCCCCCACUCACUGGGACUGAGACACUGCCCAGACACCUACGGGUGGCUGCAGUCGAGAAUCUUCGGCAAUGAGCGCAAGCUUGACCGAGCGAUGCCGCGUGCGGGAUGAAGGCCCUCGGGUUGUAAACCGCUGUCGUAGGGGAAUAACGGUCGGUGGGUUCUCCCAUCGAUUUGAAUGAUCCUAGGAGGAAGGACGGGCUAAGUUCGUG